AUUCCUAAUUAGCUUAAGGUAAAAGCCCAUAACUCUUAAUUAUGGAGAUAAUUUAUAUAAUUAUUAGGAAA
rnacentral:tRNA from 1 species